rnacentral:rRNA from 2 species
CCGGUUGAUCCUGCCGGACCUGACUGCUAUCGGAUUGAUACUAGGCCAUGCGAGUCAUUGUAGCAAUACAAGGCAUACGGCUCAGUAACGCGUAGUCAACCUACCCUAUGGACGGAAAUAACCUCGGGAAACUGAGAAUAAUAUCCGAUAGAACAUUAUGCCUGGAAUGGUUUAUGUUCCAAAUGAUUUAUCGCCGUAGGAUGGGACUGCGGCCUAUCAGUUUGUUGGUGAGGUAAUGGCCCACCAAGACUAUUACAGGUACGGGCUCUGAGAGGAGUAGCCCGGAGAUGUGUACUGAGACACGGACCCAGGCCCUAUGGGGCGCAGCAGGCGAGAAAACUUUGCAAUGUGCGAAAGCACGACAAGGUUAAUCCGAGUGAUUUCUGCUAAAGAAAUCUUUUGUUAGUCCUAGAAACACUAACGAAUAAGGGGUGGGCAAGUUCUGGUGUCAGCCGCCGCGGUAAAACCAGCACCUCAAGUGGUCAGGAUGAUUAUUGGGCCUAAAGCAUCCGUAGCCGGCUCUGUAAGUCCUCGGUUAAAUCUGUACGCUUAACGUACAGGCUGCCGGGAAUACUGCAUAGCUAGGGAGUGGGAGAGGUAGACGGUACUCGGUAGGAAGGGGUAAAAUCCUUUGAUCUAUUGAUGACCACCUGUGGCGAAGGCGGUCUACCAGAACACGUCCGACGGUGAGGGAUGAAAGCUGGGGGAGCAAACCGGAUUAGAUACCCGGGUAGUCCCAGCUGUAAACUAUGCAAACUCAGUGAUGCAUUGGCUUGUGGCCAAUGCAGUGCUGCAGGGAAGCCGUUAAGUUUGCCGCCUGGGAAGUACGUACGCAAGUAUGAAACUUAAAGGAAUUGGCGGGGGAGCACCACAAGGGGUGAAGCCUGCGGUUCAAUUGGAGUCAACGCCGG